GGAGAGGGUUGGCUAUUGUAUGGAACUCAUUAUUACUUACAAAUCAAGAAUAGCAGCACAUGGACAAAUGCAAAGCUUGGGUGUGAAAUGUUAGGGGCCUACUUAGUUUCCAUAGAAACGGAAGAGGAGAACACGUGGUUAACAGAAACCUUCCUGCCAGCCUGGGAUCCUGUGGAAUGUAGUGAAUGGUGGCAUUGCUGUUUACACUGGAUAGGUGCAAACGAUAUUGAACUGGAGGGGAGAUUUGUCUGGACAGGAAACAACCGUGACGUCACUUCCUAUUCCAACUG